rnacentral:rRNA from 1 species
AGAGUUUGAUCCUGGCUCAGAUUGAACGCUGGCGGCAGGCCUAACACAUGCAAGUCGAACGGUAACAGAAAGCAGCUUGCUGCUUUGCUGACGAGUGGCGGACGGGUGAGUAAUGUCUGGGAAACUGCCUGAUGGAGGGGGAUAACUACUGGAAACGGUAGCUAAUACCGCAUAACGUCGCAAGACCAAAGAGGGGGACCUUCGGGCCUCUUGCCAUCGGAUGUGCCCAGAUGGGAUUAGCUUGUUGGUGGGGUAACGGCUCACCAAGGCGACGAUCCCUAGCUGGUCUGAGAGGAUGACCAGCCACACUGGAACUGAGACACGGUCCAGACUCCUACGGGAGGCAGCAGUGGGGAAUAUUGCACAAUGGGCGCAAGCCUGAUGCAGCCAUGCCGCGUGUAUGGAGAAGGCCUUCGGGUUGUAAAGUACUUUCAGCGGGGAGGAAGGGAGUAAAGUUAAUACCUUUGCUCAUUGACGUUACCCGCAGAAGAAGCACCGGCUAACUCCGUGCCAGCAGCCGCGGUAAUACGGAGGGUGCAAGCGUUAAUCGGAAUUACUGGGCGUAAAGCGCACGCAGGCGGUUUGUUAAGUCAGAUGUGAAAUCCCCGGGCUCAACCUGGGAACUGCAUCUGAUACUGGCAAGCUUGAGUCUCGUAGAGGGGGGUAGAAUUCCAGGUGUAGCGGUGAAAUGCGUAGAGAUCUGGAGGAAUACCGGUGGCGAAGGCGGCCCCCUGGACGAAGACUGACGCUCAGGUGCGAAAGCGUGGGGAGCAAACAGGAUUAGAUACCCUGGUAGUCCACGCCGUAAACGAUGUCGACUUGGAGGUUGUGCCCUUGAGGCGUGGCUUCCGGAGCUAACGCGUUAAGUCGACCGCCUGGGGAGUACGGCCGCAAGGUUAAAACUCAAAUGAAUUGACGGGGGCCCGCACAAGCGGUGGAGCAUGUGGUUUAAUUCGAUGCAACGCGAAGAACCUUACCUGGUCUUGACAUCCACAGAACUUUCCAGAGAUGGAUUGGUGCCUUCGGGAACUGUGAGACAGGUGCUGCAUGGCUGUCGUCAGCUCGUGUUGUGAAAUGUUGGGUUAAGUCCCGCAACGAGCGCAACCCUUAUCCUUUGUUGCCAGCGGUCCGGCCGGGAACUCAAAGGAGACUGCCAGUGAUAAACUGGAGGAAGGUGGGGAUGACGUCAAGUCAUCAUGGCCCUUACGACCAGGGCUACACACGUGCUACAAUGGCGCAUACAAAGAGAAGCGACCUCGCGAGAGCAAGCGGACCUCAUAAAGUGCGUCGUAGUCCGGAUUGGAGUCUGCAACUCGACUCCAUGAAGUCGGAAUCGCUAGUAAUCGUGGAUCAGAAUGCCACGGUGAAUACGUUCCCGGGCCUUGCACUCACCGCCCGUCA